CUUUGUUCCUGUUAACCCUAAUAUCUGUAAUUCUGCAUCCAUCAGAAGCAAUGCCAUUGCUCCUGGUAAUCCUAUUUGAUUGCUCUCGUAUUUGAUUGCUGGAGAUUAGAAGAUAAUGCUGAGUGCAGGCAGUAGAACAGUGGAAUUCAGAAAUGUUUCAGAAGCUACUGGCAAAUCUUUCUUCUUCCUGAAAGAAAAGCAAAAGCAAGCUGGAAAUCAAAACAAGUCCACAAUCCAAAAAGAGCUCCCGUGAACACAAAGAAGAGCAAGAAAUACUGAAAAAAAGUAAAAAAGAAUAUGUCCUUGUGCUGCUUCAGACCCCUUCCAUGGAAAAGAGCUGUGAUUCCAGGAUGGAAGACAAGAAAAAUCUGCUGCCUAAAGGGAAGCAGCAAUCUGUGAGCUGCCUGCCUGCGAGAGAACAGACAGACAGUCAAGAUCCCUGUACUAAAGGAGUCCAGAGACCUUAAAGAAGUAUUUCAAAAUGGCUAAACUAACAUUUUUCUUUACCUCUACCUGGCACAUUUUCAGAGAGAUACAUUUACUGGAUGGAAACUUCCUGCCUGGGCUGGCUGUCUGUUAGCGUGAGUAAUGAGCAAUCCAUCCAUCAUUAGGGCUAGCAAGUUUUCCAUUUCAUCCUCUUCCCUCUUUAAGUGCAUGAUUUAACUCACAGCACAUAAACAUUUAUGCAGCAACCUUGUAAAAGCAAAACUGUGCCUGGUAUUACGGUCAUAUUUGAGACAACUGUAGGCAGGUGGACAAACUCACUUGAAACCAAACUCAAGUUCAGUGAUUGUUCACAAUAUCUGACCUUUGUAUUCUGUGUCUGUGCCUAAUUUACAUUAAUCUCAUUAUUUUUUUUUCCCCUCCACGUGUACUUAUUUCAGACUUGGCACUGGCCGAAGGUAGAGCUGCUACAUGCUUAAGAAAAUAUUCUUUGGACAAGUAUGAGCUCCGGGGGAGGUUGCUUUUUCAACUAGGUCACAGACCUAAAGCUUAGGAUCUCCCAUCUUUGGCCCCCUGUCCUCCUGCAGGCUUCUUCCCAUGCUGACUCACAUGAGAGAUGCUGAGCAGCAAGAACAAAGUGGGUGCGCAGGAGUCUGGAGCCAGGAGAAUGGGGUACCAACACUUCAAUUAGCAGUCAGCAAUCACAGACCUUGUCACAUGUCAACUCCACCAGCAAGUUUUCUCUUCAUGGGGAGGGGUGGCUGGUGAUACUUGAGCAUUCAGUGUUCAGCUCAGUGCAGAAACAACUUUCUGCUAGAGGGUGCCUGAAAUAUUUCUAGGUUUGUCUUUCCAGUGAGGUCUUUGGGUUUCCUUGUGUUCUUGCAGCACCUUGUUGCAGGUUAGGUCUAAGAUCUGUGAACGGUGAGGCAUGCACAAGGGGCUCUGGAUGGCAGCGCUGCAACAAAGGUUGCAGACCUUUCUCUGUCAGAAAAAGCAACAGAUUUUACAGUUCAGAAGAGCGAGGCCUUUCUUGCACAGCAGGAAAUCCCCUAUAGUCAGUAUGAGUUUUCAGCCAUGAUUUUGGGGCUUUUCUUUGCCUUCUCAAAUGUUGGCAACCCCAUUCCAUGAACAGUGCACUUGGGGCACAGGGGGCCAGUUUCACCCAGUAACUCCAGUAUCCAAGGAGCUUCUCAUGGACUUUCACUGUCUGUGUUUUAACACAGCCUGGAGCUAAACAUGUGGCUUUACUCAGCGAACCUUAAUAUGCUCUCUGCCAGUCCUAAGAAAUCAACACUCCCCAUCCAUAACUAAAUCUGAUUUCUUUGCUCAUUCCCCAGAAUCCACUCCCAAGGCUCCCUGCUCUCUCGGUGCAAGCAGAGGGUAGUGACAGCCAGAACUGAACUGCAGGCAGAGCUGUGAGGCUACACAACACAAUGCUUUUUCAAGGAAUACUCACUCAGCCAAGAAUACUUUAAAUACUCCACCUCCAUCACCUUUCCUUAAAAUUCAGAUUAUUAAUGAGUAAAACUUACAUUUGUAUUCCUCAGUGCUCUGCGUUAGAGGGAAACAAUAGCCAGGUCUCCCUCUCCUUCCUCCUGGGUGGGCAAGCAGCACAAUGCAAAAGCAUUAUCGCAUCAACUGCUGGGCUAAGAAGCUUGACCCAAAGCCCUGUGCCAGUGAAUUAUUUUCCCUUGACAUAUGGCUUAAGGCUGAAGGAUUUGAACACUUAAUUGGUGCACUUUCUGCAAGGCUUUAAAGGCUUGGCAAGGUGAGAUUCCUGCUAAUCAGUGAUACAGCUGGGAAACAGCUCCCGCUGUGCAUCACCAGCAGUCUCCACCUACAAGAAUUCAUUGAUCUCCUGGAGCUCAAGGGACUUGUAUUAUCUGAAGGUGUUAAAAUCAUUUCCAAGAGAAGCUGUCCAAAGAUUGUGUUUCAAACAUCCUUCAUAAUUCGUAUUCAUGGAGACAUGUAACAGCAUAGACCCACUAAUGUGCGUGAAAUAGAAUGCCUCGACUUUCUCUCUCACAUUAUUGUGAUAGGGUGUCUCUUUGUUAAUCAGGAAAACAAAACGUGUUCCCUGCAACUUUUGUCUUUUCCUGUAGGAAUUACCUCAGCUCUUCUCUAUAAGCAGAUAUUCACAAAAUUGACAUUUUUCCAGCACUAUUUUGUAAUUGAAAUUAACAACAACAACAAAAAUAAUAACCUAUUCCAAAAAUGUAUCAUUCGAUGAGAGAUUUGGGAAAUUAAAUCCUCAUCCAUUAUAAGCACCACUGGAAAUCAGUUAUCCUGAGCAUUUGCCUCCCAUUUUCAUCCUGCCAUUUUCCUGUAGUAAGACCUCUGACUUGCACAACAAUUUUUUCUGUAAUGCGCCACAUGUUUUGCCAGCAUUUUAGUUUCUCUACAACAUACUCCAUAAAUAAAUUACAUCACUUUCACUGUAACUGAUUCCCUUAUGCUAUCUUAUCACAAACCCUGUAAACUCAUUCCUGUGUUCCUGUGGACUGGAAGGAUCUCUGUACAUGGAGGAUAUUCAGGAGAGAUGGGUUAUUACUGCUAUUAUGGUUUUACAAGCAAAAGUAUCUUUCACUCUGAUUCUGCCAAAAUGUUCCUUUCAUGGAGAGGACAAUAAAAUGAAAGAGAGAAGUUACUGUGCCCAUUGGAGAGAAGAGACUCCCCUGAAGAAAGCUGCCUCCAGUCACCAACUUGUUCUUACAAGUGAGAAACGCUGCAUAAGAUUGAUACAGAUUCAACAUAAUAAGACUUCUUUGGAAGACAUUCCACAGACACUUGUCACUAAAUAAAGUCAAUCACAUCUCAUUCUCUUAGAUGCGGAAGAGUAAAAGAGGGAAACAGUGUUUGAAAGUGUUCAAAAAACAGAUGCUUAGGGCACUAGUGUAAAAAAGCCAAG
ensembl:lncRNA